UCCAAAAAGGACAAUGAUUAAAAUUACAAAAAAUGACUGUACUCCAAUUUUUUCUUUCAAACAUUAUCCAUUCAAUGUCUUUAAAAACCAUCAAAUUAGAUUAGUUUUAGAAUUCGGGGUUCUAAAUGCAUAAUGUUCCAUCAAAUAUUUGUCCUGUUCUGAGUUAAAAAAAGGAGGCACCAACAUCAGGCGAAGGUAAAGGUAGAUGAAAGUUGGCGAGCAACAGAGAAUGAUCCGUGACAUGCCAUAUGGGGACUUGCCAUAUGGGGACUCAGUUUUGCUUUCGUGUAUAUGUAUCAGUGUUUUAGUAUUUCGUUUUUAAUAAAAAUUUAAUCUUUCCUCUUUUGAAGAAA